CCCAAGUGCCGACUCUGCCUCUGGCUGUGCUAGCAUUGCCGCUCCCUGGGAACCCAGCCAAGGAUAAAGAGACCUGUCAGCUAACAUGAGCUGUGAAGCGGCUUCCACUGUGAGCGGCCUGUCAGCGGCAGAGGCUCCGUUGACAGAACAGCUUGGCUGCCCAACUCUGGGGCCAUGCACAGUGGCGGCAUGAGUGAGCUCUCCUCCGCUCCUGCUGCCUGUUUUUGCUGCCUCCUCCCAAUGGGGACACCCGUGCGAAACCUUAAGUUCUCCUUUGGGACAAAAAAAGAAAAGAAAAAAGAAGAAGCAGCAGCUUCCUUCCCCUUCUCUAUCACAGAGUCUGACAUCAGUGUGUUAUUUUAGUCUGUCAGAAGACAAGGGAGAUGGUGAUGCAAACUCUGCAGAAGCAACAGGGUAUGGGUUCAGGAGCAACACUUUUGCCUCUGGGUUCAAGCUAUGUGAAAUACCGUGCUGCUGAGAUUUUCAGGACCAGCUCCUCUCUUGAUCCUUUUAUUCCCACAGGUACAUCAGGCAAAGAUAUGGGAAACUUUCUUCUUCUUUGCUCUAAAAUCCCUUCCUAGGUAGACUAUAAUGGUCCCCAACCUCCUGUCCUUCUAUCAGCAGGCAAAGACUUUUGGGAAAAAAUUAUUCUGGGAGGCUUUUGAUACUGAGGAAGAAAAAGGCUUCGGGGGUUGACUGUUUUUUAAAAGAAUGUUUACAUUUUCCCUCGGUCCUCAAAUUUCUGGCACUGCAGAGAGAGUGAUGCUGAAAACCGUUCCCACUCAGAACACUUCUAUUUGCUCCGUUCACAUUCCCUUGGUCACUCUGCCUGCCUCUUUUCUCUGGAUGCCAAAACUCUGUUUCUAAAGGCUCAGCUGAAGGUUUCAGUUACUGAAAUACUAGAUAUUUCAGAACUGAAGGGAAAAAAGACAUUUAGGUGACAGAAUUCUUACUUGGGGAGAUGCCCUAAUUCUGUCCCCUAUAGGUGUAUCUCUGAGCCAUUGCGUUUUUGUUGGUACCUAUAUAUUUUGCCUUUUAAUCAUGCUGUGAACUGGCCCCGAGUUCCAGUUCUUUUAGAGAAGGAUGUGAUAUAAAUUUAACAAAUUAACAAAUAUAACCCAACGUUCUGAAGUCGAAGGCUUUCAUGGCCAGCAUCCAUAGUUUUUGUGGAUUUUUGGACUAUGUGGCUAUGUUCUAGAAGAGUUUGUUCCUGAUGUUCCUGACCCAAUGCUCUCUAUUUCCAGAUUGUGCCCUCAAUGCUGCUUCAUGCUCAGAAGGUCAGCUGUGCAACUGAGUAUCAUCUGCUCUUUUCCUCCUCUGGCUUCACCAUCUCAGUCCAGUGGUUUCACACUCCGAGAGAGCAAGAGUGAGAGGCCUUGCGCUUGAUUUUAAGGACACCUGAUGCAGCCCCAGUGCCAUAUUUUUGCUUGCCCCGGCUAAAAUUCACCCUUGUGCCUGGUGGAGGAAUUGCUUCAUUUCCUCUGCAGCAGUCUAUCUCUCUAGAUUUCUCCCAAGAAAGGAGCCAAAGGAUCAUCUCUGGGACUCUGGAAAACCAAAACAAGAAGGUGUAAGGUCCUCUUUUGCAAAGGAGCAUCAGAUCUAGAAGUGAAGGAGUUACUGUGCCGGCGGAUGCUGCCAGGGCUUAAGAAGACCUGAGGGCAAGCCAGCCUUGUAUCCACUCGCCCAUCCUCCUGCAAGGAAAGGCUGUGAGCGAUGGGAUCAGCAAUCCCAGAUGAGAUGACCUCAUGCUCAAGUAAUCCAUAUUCCCUUUGAGAGAUGAGUGCGGAGGAGGGAAGGAACCUGGCCAGGCGUCAAGUAUGUUUGGAGGGUGUCCUCAGGAGAAGGAAAGCCUGAAGAAGCCCAGAGGGUUCCUCCAAGUUUCCGUCUGAGAAGGAGGAGGAAGUUAUGAGCACAUGGGUUCCUACGCAAGCAUUUCCUCUCGCUUUCCUGUCCCGUUCAGCCCUCCCAUCUGUUUCCUCAAAAUGUUCCCAAAAGGCAGGGACACAGGAGAACAUCUUGCAGGACGGAAACAGUGAAGGGGUCCGAAAAUAACUCACAGAAUCCUGAGAUUUUGAGAGAUGCCAAAGAUGGGCCUUUUUUCAGAAAGCCGGCUUGGAGCCUUGUCUUUCAGAAGCUGCCAGCUGUCGGAGCAGAGAGAGAGAAUUUGUUUCACACGGAGGUCUGGAGAGCAAUGGCAAGGCCACGACUGACUGGCGUUUGGAGGAGAGUGUGAGAAAAAUUCCUGGGCCAGGGCAGGGGGAGAGAUUGGGCCGGAAAUCGGGAGCAUGGGAGCAAUGGGGAAUGGAAUUUAAGAGGGUCUUAAGGAACCCCUGGGCCUCCCUUCCAAAGCUGGGGGGGCCGCUUUUGCUAAUGGGGUUUUCAGUACUGAGUACCACCGCACAUACCCCCCCCCCCAACCCUGGACUUGCACUCAGUUGCCGCAAGGGAAGGAAGAAAGGACUAUAAAUAACCUCUCCCGUCUGCUAACUGCAAGCAGAUGUCUUUGGCUGUGAUUUCAUCCUGGGACGAGGCCGGCCGUGUUGGACGCAGGGAGCCCUGCAAAUGAAUGGCUGGUGGGAUUCUUGAAUGAGAGUCAACUUUUUAUGUUAUUUAUUUAUUUUUCUUUUUGUAGCCGGUCAAAGUGCCUGGGAGAAAUUCCAGCCCUCCUUUUAGAAUGGGACUUGACUUUCUGGGGGGAGGACAGCGAAAACUGGUGUGGCACCACCACAUUUGCGGCUUUGAUUAUUCACGGAUUUUAUUGAUAUGUUUUC